AAACUUAUCGUUUCUCUUCAGAUCAUAUAAAUCACUCACCUUUUACUAAAGAUUUCUGUGGAGAGGAACAAUUCUAAGUCUUAAAUCACUUUUUUUGAGGCCUUGCGUUUGCAGGGAA
rnacentral:snRNA from 1 species